ACAAGUGUUAAAAACAUAGCUAGCACUACAAGCCUGAUUCUGAAAUAUCAAGCCAUUCAUCAAAAGGAAAAAUCUAGAUGAUGCAAAUUCAAGAUAGAAAGAGGUACAAUUGUAUUGGAACUCGAGAAGGCACCAGAAUUCAGAGAAGGAUGAAGUUUAUUCAGAGAACAAACACUGUCUGUGGCCGGCGACAGUGUUGUUACAGGAAACAACUAAAACUUAGCUAGCACUACUAAUCCGAUUCAUCAAAAACAAAGCCGUCACAAGGAAAAAGCUAAAUGAUGGAAAGUCAAGGCAGGUGAGCAAAUCACUGUUUCAAAAUCAGCAUGCUCUUCACCCCAUAGCUCCAGCUUUUGCCUGCACCACAAAGACGUACACCACAUCUGCCAGAAUUCAAGUGCAUCUGUAGAUGAGUUUACCCAUCUGUGUCACCGCAUCCGCUGGAUAAAGGUUCCCAAGUCGAGGAUCGAUUAUUUCCGCAAUCUUA